UACGGAAGGGGCAAGCGUUGUUCGGAAUCAUUGGGCGUAAAGGGCGCGUAGGUGGCUCUGUAUGUCUGCCGUGAAAGCAUACAGCUCAACUGUAUUGUGUCGGUAGAAACUGCAGGACUUGAGGCUGGGAGGGGCUGGUGGAAUUCCCUGUGUAGCGGUGAAAUGCGUAGAGAUGGGGGAGAACACUCGUGGCGAAGGCGGCCAGCUAGACCAGUUCUGACACUGAGGCGCGACAGCGUGGGGAGCAAACGGG
rnacentral:rRNA from 1 species